GUAAAGAGCUCGUAGGUGGUUUGUCGCGUUGUUCGUGAAAUCUCACGGCUUAACUGUGAGCGUGCGGGCGAUACGGGCAGACUAGAGUACUGCAGGGGAGACUGGAAUUCCUGGUGUAGCGGUGGAAUGCGCAGAUAUCAGGAGGAACACCGGUGGCGAAGGCGGGUCUCUGGGCAGUAACUGACGCUGAGGAGCGAAAGCGUGGGGAGCGAACAGGAUUAGAUACCCUGGUAGUCCACGCCGUAAACGGCGGGUACUAGGUGUGGGUUUCCUUCCUUGGGAUCCGUGCCGUAGCUAACGCAUUAAGUACCCCGCCUGGGGAGUACGGCCGCAAGGCUAAAACUCAAAGGAAUUGACGGGGGCCCGCACAAGCGGCGGAGCGUGUGGAUUAAUCCGAUGCAACGCGAAGAACCUUACCUGGGUUUGACAUGCACAGGACGCGUCUAGAGAUAGGCGUUCCCUUGUGGCCUGUGUGCAGGUGGUGCAUGGCUGUCGUCAGCUCGUGUCGUGAGAUGUUGGGUUAAGUCCCGCAACGAGCGCAACCCUUGUCUCAUGUUGCCAGCGGGUAAUGCCGGGGACUCGUGAGAGACUGCCGGGGUCAACUCGGAGGAAGGUGGGGAUGACGUCAAGUCAUCAUGCCCCUUAUGUCCAGGGCUUCACACAUGCUACAAUGGCCGGUACAAAGGGCUGCGAUGCCGUAAGGUUAAGCGAAUCCUUUUAAAGCCGGUCUCAGUUCGGAUUGGGGUCUGCAA
rnacentral:rRNA from 1 species